AAGCAAAUCAAAGUGAAAAUGAAGAACUUACCAGCAAUUAUCCUAGUGGUCACGGUUUCACUACUUUUAUGCGAAGCUUCGAUGGCUGCAGGACAUCCCAAACAACCUGCAAAGUCCAAGGAACACAAACUUAGUGAAGCAAUUAAACAUACUGUUGAUCGAAUCCGUCAACAGCAGCAACAGCAACAACA